UCCGAGUUGACCCCGGCAGUCUCCUAUGAGUCCCCGGCAUGACCCGCUGGCAACAUAGAACGAGGAUUGCGCUCGUUGCGGGACUUAACCCAACAUCUCACGACACGAGCUGACGACAGCCAUGCAGCAUCUGUGGUGCACCCUCGAAGGUCACACGUUUCCGUGCGCUUGCAGCACCAUGUCAAGCCCAGGUAAGGUUCUUCGCGUUGCAUCGAAUUAAACCACAUGCUCCACCGCUUGUGCAGGCCCCCGUCAAUUCCUUUGAGUUUUAGCCUUGCGGCCGUACUCCCCAGGCGGGGCGCUUAAUGCGUUAGCUGCGGCACGGAACCCGUGGAAUGGACCCCACACCUAGCGCCCAACGUUUACGGCAUGGACUAC
rnacentral:misc_RNA from 1 species